AAGACUAUACUGUUGUGCAAGGAUCAUUUCUAUAGUGCUUGACAAGAAAUGUGUGUCUAAAGUCCCUAGAUCAUCUUCCAUGAUGACCAUUUGGGGAACCCGAAGAUAGUUCUGAACGUUCAAGUCUUGAAGAUGGCGGUUAGAAAUGAUUUGCCUGGGGGUUUCUCCACCUUUGAUGAGGGGCCCUUCAGAACGGAUGAAGGGAAUAUUUCUGAGACCUGGA